AUUGAACGCUGGCGGCAGGCCUAACACAUGCAAGUCGAACGAGUGGCGGACGGGUGAGUAAUGUCUGGGAAACUGCCUGACGGAGGCGGAUAACUACUGGAAACGGUAGCUAAUACCGCAUACCAUCAGAUGUGCCCAGAGGGUAUUAGCUUGUUGGUGGGGUAACGGCUCACCAAGGCGACGAUCCCUAGCUGGUCUGAGAGGGGGACCAGCCACACUGGGACUGAGCCACGGUCCAGACUCCUACGGGAGGCAGCAGUGGGGAAUAUUGCACAAUGGGCGCAAGCCUGAUGCAGCCAUGCCGCGUGUAUGAAGAAGGCCUUCGGGUUGUAAAGUACUGUCAGCGGGGAGGCGUUACCCGCAGAAGAAGCACCGGCUAACUCCGUGCCAGCAGCCGCGGUAAUUC
rnacentral:rRNA from 1 species